UACGUAGGGUGCAAGCGUUGUCCGGAAUCAUUGGGCGUAAAGAGCGUGUAGGCGGCUUGUUAAGUCUUGCGUGAAAUCUCGGGGCUCAACCCCGAGCGGUCGUGAGAAACUGGCAGGCUAGAGUGCGGGAGAGGAGAGUGGAAUUCCUGGUGUAGCGGUGAAAUGCGCAGAUAUCAGGAAGAACACCCGUGGCGAAAGCGGCUCUCUGGAACGGUACUGACGCUGAGACGCGAAAGCGUGGGGAGCGAACAGG
rnacentral:rRNA from 1 species